rnacentral:lncRNA from 1 species
AGGUAAAAUAGUUUGUGUAGGUACCAUUGAACUAAUUGGUGCCUUUUUUCUUUACCAUGUUUUGUUCUUCUCUCCAUGUACGUACCUUAUUUUGUGAAAUUUCAAUAAUAUGAUGGCACUUUAAAUAUUUUAGUGUGGUAAUUUGUGCCGCCCUUCCGCGAUCAAAAGGAGGGGCAUACUUCUCAGCUCUUGCCCUUUCUCUCAACUGUUUCUGUUUGUGCUUACUUCACCAAAAACUUUUGAUGGUGCUAUCACUUGACUCACUAACCCAACUUGAUUGGUAUUGAGACGUAGUAGUUGUUGUAAUGUCAAUCGACUCACUGCUCAUACCUAUGCAUUGGCAUGUUUGUGUAGCACUUUAAUUCUCAAGGUCUUCCCAUCAAGUCUCCGGUCA